AGCAGCCGCGGUAAUUCCAGCUCCAAUAGCGUAUAUUAAAGUUGUUGCAGUUAAAAAGCUCGUAGUUGAAUUUCGGAAUCUGUCCGUUGGUCGGGCUUAACUGUCCGUACUGAUGUGAUGGGUUCUUACCUUCUGAAUAACCAUCAUGCCAUUAAUUUGGUGUGUUGGGGAAGCAGGACUAUUACCUUGAAAAAUUAGAGUGCUCAAAGCAGGCUAGUGCCUGAAUACAUUAGCAUGGAAUAAUAAAAUAGGACGGCAUGGUUCUAUUUUGUUGGUUUCUAGGAUCACCGUAAUGAUUAAUAGGGAUAGUUGGGGGCAUUAGUAUUCAAUUGUCAGAGGUGAAAUUCUUGGAUUUAUUGAAGACUAACUUCUGCGAAAGCAUUUGCCAAGGAUGUUUUCAUUAAUCAAGAACGAAAGUUAGGGGAUCGAAGACGAUCAGAUACCGUCGUAGUCUUAACCAUAAACUAUGCCGACUAGGGAUCGGGCGAUGUUAAUUUAUAAUGACUCGUUCGGUCCG
rnacentral:rRNA from 1 species